GUGCCAGCCGCCGCGGUAAUACGUAGGGGGCAAGCGUUAUCCGGAUUUAUUGGGCGUAAAGAGCUCGUAGGCGGCCGAUCGCGUCGGAUGUGAAAGCUCGGGGCUCAACCCUGAGAGGCCAUUCGAUACGGAUCGGCUAGAGGUAGGUAGGGGAAAGUGGAAUUCCUGGUGUAGCGGUGAAAUGCGCAGAUAUCAGGAGGAACACCGGUGGCGAAGGCGGCUUUCUGGGCCUUACCUGACGCUGAGGAGCGAAAGCUGGGGGAGCAAACAGGAUUAGAUACCCCGGUAGUCC
rnacentral:rRNA from 1 species